AGUAACGUCGUUGCAAUGUUCGACUACGAACUCUGUAUUGUUUAGUUUAUUAGAAUAACAAAACAAAAAACAUCUGAGUACGCGAUCUUCGGAAAUCUUUUUGUUCUCGGUAUAUAAAAAUUAUAAAGUUGCGCAAAGAAGAAUUAUGUGUGAUUAAUAUUGUCAAUUUUCAUGUAAUGAAAAUGAGUGAGUUCAACAAGUGAUUACCACAAAACCAAAUAAACAUUUUUAUAUCUAUCGUAUUGAAUUGUGAAAAUUAUCUACACAAUGCGUUUUGUAUAAGCUGUUUUUAUAAAAUGAAUACCUCAGAUCGUUUGUCUGGAUCGACCCAAUCGUUUGUCUGGAUCGACCCGAUGACUUUAUCGUCUCUGAACGCCGUCUCUACAUAAACCAAAAAAAAGCAGACUGGCUCGGCUUCAAAGAAUUCACUGAUCGCAUUUUUAAUGAUCUCCCAGCUCCUAGCAACGUACUCCAAGCUGAGAGCAAGUUCCGCGAAACUGUCAUCGCAGCAGCAGCCCGCUUUAUUCCUGCUGGUCGACUAUCCAUAGUGCGGCCGCAUAUCCCAGCAGAGGCAGCGAGACUAGGAGACGAGCGCCAUGACCUCCGAAAUAUCAACCCCGACAACCCACGUAUUGUCCAGCAGAAUUACGAUAGCAGCAGGUUGGUAAAUGAGGACAAGCGGAAUAAAUGGUUAGAUCAUUUGAAGAACUGCAAAUUAAGCUCAGGUGUAAGUAAGUUGUGGUCUACAGUUCGGUCACUCUCCAACCCGACGAAGAUGGAUGACAGGGUCGCGAUUAAUAUUGCAGAUACCACUAUUUCCGAGCCUGAACUGUGCUUGCGUGUAUUUCGCCGACUUUAUAUUGAGCACCCAGAGAGAUAAGGCGAAACGAAGUGUUGUUCGCAAACUUCACAGCCUUCCAGUCUCCGACAUUCAACAACCUUUCACCCCUUCUGAAGUUGCAGAGGCCAUCAAGGCAGCCAAACCAUCUAAGGCAAUGCCUGGAAAAAGGGUAGAGUCAUCCAGAUACCAGGGAAGAACGCGACAGAGGGUCAAUCCUACAAGCCGAUUUCCUUCCUGUCACCAUUCGCGAAGACUCUUGAGGCGCUCCUCCCCCAGCUGUCCAGCAUGGAUUCCGUAAGAUGCACAGCACCACCUCAGCAUUAACCGCCAUAACCACUCAGACCUCACAAGGCUUAAACCAGCAGAGGCCUUGUGAAAGGACGCUCCUUGUGGCGCCUUCGAUACAGUCAGAAAUACCACACUUUUCCAGGACAUCCUGCAGUCCAUCAUGACCAACAACUUGAAGAGAUGGAUUGUAAAUUAUAUGAGUGGCCGUCAGUCGUUCGUUGAGUUUAGAGACAAAUGUUCCAAAACCUGUAAAGUUAAACAGGGAGUACCACGUGGGCGGCGUCUUAUCCCCCCAUUGUUUAACUUUCACCUCUCUAAACUGCCCACACCUCCACAAGGUGUGGAAGUUAUAUCUUAUGCGGCCGACUGUAACAUUAUGACGACGGGCCAAAAGCGUUGAUGAGCUAUGCGAUCGAGUGAAUGGUAAUCUCGGAGUAAUACACAACUUCUUCACUGGACGUAACCUGAAACUAUCACCAGCGAAGUCUUCAGCUACACUUUACACCACCUGGACGAAGGAGGUAAACUUGAACCUAGGCGUCGUAGGCGACGGAAACCAAAUACAGACUCUGAACCACCCAAAGAUUUUGGGGGUCACUUUUGACAGCAUGUUUACUUCCUUAGAUCAUGCCACUGCAAUUACGCACAAAUUGCGAGGAAACGAAGGUCCUCCCAGUCAAGGAACAUAAUGUCAUGCUGACUAAACAGUUCCUCCUGGGAUGUCACCGGAGGAGUCAAAAAAAAAAAAUACACAACUCAAUGGAGCCAACAGCAUCCAAAUAUUCAAAACAGAAUACACAGCUGAAUAAAACCAAAUACAUCCACGCAACUGUACAUCUUUUUUCAAUUCACAGUUUUGUUGUUGCUUUUUUAACAAAGCAUGAAAAAACAUGUCUUUU
rnacentral:lncRNA from 1 species